UACGGAGGAUGCAAGCGUUAUCCGGAAUCAUUGGGCGUAAAGCGUCCGUAGGUGGCGCAGCAAGUCUGUGGUCAAAGCACGAGGCUUAACCUUGUAAAGGCCAUGGAAACUGCUGGAGCUAGAGUGCGGUAGGGGUAGAGGGAAUUCCCAGUGUAGCGGUGGAAAUGCGUAGAGAUUGGGAAGAACACCGGUGGCGAAAGCGCUCUACUGGGCCUGCACUGACACUGAGGGACGAAAGCUAGGGGAGGCGAAAGGG
rnacentral:rRNA from 1 species